CCUACGGGAGGCAGCAGUGGGGGAUAUUGCACAAUGGGCGAAAGCCUGAUGCAGCGACGCCGCGUGAGGGAAGACGGUCUUCGGUUUGUAAACCUUUUUCUAUGGGGAAGAAAAUGACGGUACCCAAAGAGGAAGCUCCGGCUAACUACGUGCCAGAUGCCGCGGUAAUACGUAGGGAGCAAGCGUUGUCCGGAAUUACUGGGUGUAAGGGGAGCGUAGGCGGGUUGGCAGGUAGAAUGUAAAAUCCGUCGGCUCACCCGGGGGCUGCGUCCAAAACUGCCGGUCUUGAGUGUAGUAGAGGCGGGCGGAAUUCCUAGUGUAGCGGUGAAAUGCGUAGAUAUUAGGAGGAACACCAGUGGCGAAGGCGGCCUGCUGGACUUUAACUGACACUGAGGCUCGAAAGCGUGGGGAGCAAACAGGAUUAGAUACCCCUGUAGUC
rnacentral:rRNA from 1 species